rnacentral:rRNA from 1 species
UUUGGCUACGGGAGGCAGCAGUGGGGAAUAUUGCACAAUGGGGGAAACCCUGAUGCAGCAACGCCGCGUGAAGGAAGACGGUUUUCGGAUUGUAAACUUCUAUCAAUAGGGAAGAAAGAAAUGACGGUACCUAAAUAAGAAGCCCCGGCCAACUACGUGCCAGCAGCCGCGGUAAUACGUAGGGGGCAAGCGUUAUCCGGAAUUACUGGGUGUAAAGGGAGAGUAGGCGGCAAGGUAAGCGAUAUGUGAAAGCCUUAAGCUUAACUUAAGGAUGGCAUAACGAACUAUCUAGCUAGAGUACAGGA